AGUAAAAUCAGCUAAUUAAGCUCCUGGGCCCAUAACCCAGUAAUGUUGGUUAAAACCCUUCUUUUACGA
rnacentral:tRNA from 1 species